AGGAGGGAAGGAUUAAAAAGGGGGGAAAAAGCUGGUUGAACCGCGACAAGAGGACCGCCAGUGGCCGUACGCCACCACUAGUCUCCGCCGUUUCUCUCAAUUGAUAAGUUCAGGAGAGCGAAGUACUUUGAUCCUUUACCGAUUGUUCUAGAAGAACCUUUUUAAUUUCUUUUUUUUUUUCCAUAAACAAAAAUUCAACGAGAAGCUCGAAAAAUGGGGAACUUAAAGGCGACGAUUACGGACGAUUCCGACACCGUUUCGGACGACGACGGCGCCACCACUGUUACGGACUCGCCAUCCUCCUCGCCACCUCCACAUUCGUCUUCCCUCUCUGGCCCCUUCGAAGAAGGAGAAGAAGUCCUUGCUUAUCACAACCAAUGUGUGUACAAAGCUAAGAUUCAAAAGACUCGAUUUGUGAAGACAGAAUGGGAGUAUUUUGUUCACUAUACAGGUUGGAACAAAAACUGGGAUGAAUGGUUGGGCAUAGAUCGAUUGAUGAAAGUCACUGAAGAGAACUUACGAAAACAGCAGGAGCUUAAUAAAAAAUAUGACAUGAAGAAGAAUGAAAAGGCCAGGCGUGGAUCACAAUUAAAAGCAAAAUGUUCUACUGGGACAAGAGCUAAAAGGCAAAAGAAAGAUGUUCAAAAGGACAAAGGUGUCCUACCUUCAGAGAAGCUUGUUGUUAACAUUCAAAUUCCAUCCUCAUUAAAGAAGCAGCUGGUUGAUGAUUGUGAAUUUAUUACCCAUUUGGGCAAGCUUGUCCAACUUCCUCGUUCUCCGAGUGUAAAUGAAAUACUAAGCAAGUACAGUGACUAUCGCCUAAAGAAGGAUGGAAUAAUUGCUGAUUCAGUAAGCGAAAUUCUUAGUGGAUUGCAAUGUUACUUUGACAAAGCAUUGUCUGCUAUGCUCCUUUACAAGAAUGAGCGCGAGCAAUAUCAAGAAGCAAUUACAGAUGGAGUCUCUCCUUCAUCUGUGUAUGGUGCUGAGCAUCUAUUACGUUUGUUUGUUAAAUUUCCUGAAAUAUUGCACCAUGCAAAUAUUGAGGAUGAGACAGUAACUGAGUUGCGACAGAAAUUGCAAGACUUCCUCAGGAGGAAGAUAGGGGUUUGGUGCAAUCUCAUCUCUUGAUGACUAAACCUUCUGGUGGGGGCUAGCUUUAGCUUGCAGUCAAUUGAUUUCUCUCCUGAUGUUUUUUUCUGUCACCUCAGUGGACAGACACGCAUUACAGGUUUCUACAGAAGAAUCAAAGCUCAUUUUUCCUAUCAUCAUACAUUGAUCCAGAAGUUUCAGAUGUUGUCAACAAGAAAGGGGAUGACUGAGCUCAAAACAUAGUAAAACUUCUGCUCUGUAUAAGUGCCUCUAUCUUGCCCCCAAACCCCCUCCCUCCACCCCAUUUGUUCUAAAAUUGGUCGGUUGCAUUGUACAUGUUGCUUUUGUCUGGUGAAUAGCAACAGCAGGUGCUGUUAUUUUGUAAUGCUCGUUUUAUACAGUUGAAACUCUGCACCUUCAAAAGGCUUCAAUCCCAGUGCAUAAUGUUUAAAAGAAAAAAGGUUAAGCAA